AACACUGUUAACCUGCGGUACCUGCGGAGGGAUCAUUACCGAGUGUGGUCCCAUAAGGGGCGCCUCCCGUCCUUUGCAGGGCCUUUAGGGGCUUUUUGACUUUGCUUCGGCGGGCUUGCCCCGCCGGAACACCCUCAAGAAAAUCUUUAUGAACCGUUUGUCUGAGUUGCUUGCGAAUAAAAACAAAACUUUUAGCAACGGAUCU
rnacentral:misc_RNA from 1 species